AUACGUACCUGGCAGCAGAGAUACCCUGAUCCCGAAGGUGGUUUUCCUGAGGCGAGGCUUAUCCGUUGUACUCCAGAUGUGCUGACCCCUGCGAUUUCCCAAAUGUGGGAAACUCGACUGCAUAAUUUGUGGUAGUGGGGGACAGCAUUCACGCUCUCCCCUG